rnacentral:rRNA from 1 species
AAACGGCCGCGGUACCCUAACCGUGCAAAGGUAGCAUAAUCAUUUGCCUUUUAAUUGGAGGCUGGUAUGAAUGGUUUGACGAGAGCCACGCUGUCUCCCCUAAAAUAUUUAAAAAUUAACUUUUAGGUGAAGAGGCCUAAAUAUAUUUAAGGGACAAGAAGACCCUGUUGAGCUUUAGUUUAGUUACAAAUGAUUAAGUAAAUUUUGUUUAAUUAAAAUAAAAUUAUGUUGUGCUUUGUAUAACGUAAGUUUGUAAUGAAUCUUUAGUUGGGGCGACUGAGGAACAAAAAAAGCUUCUUUUUGAUAAAAUGUUUUGAUAUAUUGAUAAAGGUAUAAAUUAAUUUUUACUAAUUAUUUUGAUCCAAAAUUAUUUUGAUUAAAGGAAAAAGUUACCACAGGGAUAACAGCGUAAUCUUUCUGGAGAGACCUUAUCGAAAGAAGGGUUUGCGACCUCG